CGCUAAGAAACAACACGACUAGGC
rnacentral:siRNA from 1 species